GCGGCGGAGGGUCGGGCCGGCCGCGGAGGGUCGGGCCGGCCGCGGAGGGUCGGGCCGGCCGCGGAGGGUCGGGCCGGCCGCGGAGGGUCGGGCCGGCGGCGUCACUUGAGCGCAGUGCGAGUGAUUUGGGAGCGGGCCUGUCUCGCUUAGACCGUUCUGGUCAAUCCGCGAAAGCCAGAAAGAAGUGACGUUAACCUACCUGUGUUUCCACGAACACAAUUGUUUAGACAGAGUCCCAGGGUAAUGGAAAUCGCUGCACUGUCCAGUCCCUUCGAUGGCAACAGUGAUGGACUGAUCCCAGUUCACCUCCAAUUCUAUUAACUGUGAAGAGCUACGACAGUUCAUUUUGAAGAUCCGAGAGGAAAAUAUUGCAGUAAAUCAGUAAAUGUGUUAUUGCAAUUUCCUGCCCGUAUAAGAAAUGUCUUUCCAUUAAAAAAUCUAAUAGUGAGUUAAGUCUAAUAUCUUUUAUUGGUUUAAAUGUCAAAUUUCCCAUCAGUAUUUAAUAAAUCACGUAUACAAAAUGUGAA